UACGAAGGGGGCUAGCGUUGCUCGGAAUCACUGGGCGUAAAGCGCACGUAGGCGGAUUGUUAAGUCAGGGGUGAAAUCCUGGAGCUCAACUCCAGAACUGCCUUUGAUACUGGCGAUCUCGAGUCCGGGAGAGGUGAGUGGAACUGCGAGUGUAGAGGUGAAAUUCGUAGAUAUUCGCAAAGAACACCAGUGGCGAAGGCGGCUCACUGGCCCGGUACUGACG
rnacentral:rRNA from 1 species